GAUGAACGCUGGCGGCGUGCCUAAUACAUGCAAGUCGAGCGAACGGACGAGAAGCUUGCUUCUCUGAUGUUAGCGGCGGACGGGUGAGUAACACGUGGAUAACCUACCUAUAAGACUGGGAUAACUUCGGGAAACCGGAGCUAAUACCGGAUAAUAUUUUGAACCGCAUGGUUCAAAAGUGAAAGACGGUCUUGCUGUCACUUAUAGAUGGAUCCGCGCUGCAUUAGCUAGUUGGUAAGGUAACGGCUUACCAAGGCAACGAUGCAUAGCCGACCUGAGAGGGUGAUCGGCCACACUGGAACUGAGACACGGUCCAGACUCCUACGGGAGGCAGCAGUAGGGAAUCUUCCGCAAUGGGCGAAAGCCUGACGGAGCAACGCCGCGUGAGUGAUGAAGGUCUUCGGAUCGUAAAACUCUGUUAUUAGGGAAGAACAUAUGUGUAAGUAACUGUGCACAUCUUGACGGUACCUAAUCAGAAAGCCACGGCUAACUACGCGCCAGCAGCCGCGGUAAUACGUAGGUGGCAAGCGUUAUCCGGAAUUAUUGGGCGUAAAGCGCGCGUAGGCGGUUUUUUAAGUCUGAUGUGAAAGCCCACGGCUCAACCGUGGAGGGUCAUUGGAAACUGGAAAACUUGAGUGCAGAAGAGGAAAGUGGAAUUCCAUGUGUAGCGGUGAAAUGCGCAGAGAUAUGGAGGAACACCAGUGGCGAAGGCGACUUUCUGGUCUGUAACUGACGCUGAUGUGCGAAAGCGUGGGGAUCAAACAGGAUUAGAUACCCUGGUAGUCCACGCCGUAAACGAUGAGUGCUAAGUGUUAGGGGGUUUCCGCCCCUUAGUGCUGCAGCUAACGCAUUAAGCACUCCGCCUGGGGAGUACGACCGCAAGGUUGAAACUCAAAGGAAUUGACGGGGACCCGCACAAGCGGUGGAGCAUGUGGUUUAAUUCGAAGCAACGCGAAGAACCUUACCAAAUCUUGACAUCCUUUGACAACUCUAGAGAUAGAGCUUUCCCCUUCGGGGGACAAAGUGACAGGUGGUGCAUGGUUGUCGUCAGCUCGUGUCGUGAGAUGUUGGGUUAAGUCCCGCAACGAGCGCAACCCUUAAGCUUAGUUGCCAUCAUUAAGUUGGGCACUCUAAGUUGACUGCCGGUGACAAACCGGAGGAAGGUGGGGAUGACGUCAAAUCAUCAUGCCCCUUAUGAUUUGGGCUACACACGUGCUACAAUGGACAAUACAAAGGGCAGCGAAACCGUGAGGUCAAGCAAAUCCCAUAAAGUUGUUCUCAGUUCGGAUUGUAGUCUGCAACUCGACUACAUGAAGCUGGAAUCGCUAGUAAUCGUAGAUCAGCAUGCUACGGUGAAUACGUUCCCGGGUCU
rnacentral:rRNA from 1 species